CACGUAGGGCGCAAGCGUUGUCCGGAAUUAUUGGGCGUAAAGAGCUCGUAGGCGGUCUGUUGCGUCUGCUGUGAAAACUCGGGGCUUAACCCCGAGCCUGCAGUGGAUACGGGCAGACUAGAGGUAGGUAGGGGAGAAUGGAAUUCCCGGUGUAGCGGUGAAAUGCGCAGAUAUCGGGAGGAACACCGGUGGCGAAGGCGGCGACCUGGACAGAUAUUGACGCUGAGGUGCGAAAGCGUGGGGAGCAAACAGG
rnacentral:rRNA from 1 species